CAUGCAUGUAUAAGUAUAAACGCUUUAAGCGUGAAACUGCGUACGGCUCAUUACAACAGCAAUAAUUUACUUGAUCUUGACAACCUACAUGGAUAACUGUGGUAAUUCUAGAGCUAAUACAUGCACCAAAGCUCCGACCCGCGAGGGGAGAGCGCAUUUAUUAGAACAAAACCAAGCGGCUUCGGCCGUCCAUUGUUGACUCAGAAUAACUAAGCUGAUCGUACGGUCUUGUACCGACGACGUGUCUUUCAAGUUUCUGCUUUAUCAACUUUCGAUGGUAGUGUAUCUGACUACCAUGGUGGUGACGGGUAACGGAGGAUAAGGGUUCGACUCCGGAGAAGGGGCCUGAGAAAUGGCCACUACGUCUAAGGAUGGCAGCAGACGCGCAAAUUACCCACUCUCAAUGCGAGGAGGUAGUGACGAGAAAUAACGAGGCCGUUCUCUUUGAGGCCGGUCAUCGGAACGGGUACAAUUUAAACCCUUUAACGAGUAUCUAUGAGAGGGCAAGUCUGGUGCCAGCAGCCGCGGUAAUUCCAGCUCUCAAAAUGCAUAGAAUUAUUGCUGCGGUUAAAAAGCUCGUAGUUGGAUCUGUGCCUGUGCUCCGGUCCACCUCGCGGUGCGCACUGGGUGUCACAGGCUUUCCUGCAGUGUUCAGCCCCGGCGCCUUCACCGGCACCGGUGUGUUGAUGCUGCAAGUUUACUUUGAACAAAUCGGAGUGCUCCAAACAGGCGUUUGCUUGAACGUUCGUGCAUGGAAUAAUAGAAGAGGAUUUCGGUUCAAUUUUAUUGGUUUUAUUGGCCGAGAUAAUGGUUAACAGAGACAAACGGGGGCAUUUGUAUUGCU
rnacentral:rRNA from 1 species